GUGAGCGGCAGACGGGUGAGUAACGCGUGGGAAUCUACCCAUCUCUACGGAAUAACACAGAGAAAUUUGUGCUAAUACCGUAUACGUCCUUCGGGAGAAAGAUUUAUCGGAGAUGGAUGAGCCCGCGUUGGAUUAGCUAGUUGGUGAGGUAAAGGCUCACCAAGGCGACGAUCCAUAGCUGGUCUGAGAGGAUGAUCAGCCACACUGGGACUGAGACACGGCCCAGACUCCUACGGGAGGCAGCAGUGGGGAAUAUUGGACAAUGGGGGCAACCCUGAUCCAGCCAUGCCGCGUGAGUGAUGAAGGCCCUAGGGUUGUAAAGCUCUUUCACCGGUGAAGAUAAUGACGGUAACCGGAGAAGAAGCCCCGGCUAACUUCGUGCCAGCAGCCGCGGUAAUACGAAGGGGGCUAGCGUUGUUCGGAUUUACUGGGCGUAAAGCGCAUGUAGGCGGAUAUUUAAGUCAGAGGUGAAAUCCCAGGGCUCAACCCUGGAACUGCCUUUGAUACUGGGUAUCUUGAGUAU
rnacentral:rRNA from 1 species